UUAAGCUACAAAGGGCUUACGGUGGAUGCCUUGGCAGUCAAUCGA
rnacentral:rRNA from 1 species